rnacentral:rRNA from 1 species
GAAAUGCGAUACGUAGUGUGAAUUGCAGAAUUCCGUGAAUCAUUAAAUCUUUGAACGCAUAUUGCGCUCAAGGCUUCGGCCGAGAGCAUGUCUGCCUCAGCGUCG